UAUGGAUUGGCUAUUCCCCCUGUCAUUCCCCAGUGUGUAUGUCUGGCUGAGGAGCUGUAGUGUGGUCAAAGCAGACUCACUCAGACAGAGUUUGUUGUGGCAGGCAGACAGGCAGUUCUAAAGGGCCAGUGAGUGUGCAAUGGAUUUCAUGGAGAUGUUCUUUGUCUCUCUCGGCACUGCAGUCAUUGUCUUUUAUGGAGUGAAAAUGGUCCACUUCGCCAAGAUGUUUUAUCCCAGAGUUUGGUUCCCGCAGCCAGAGUCCUUCUUUACAUCCAUGGGAGAGUGGGCAGCGAUGCAGGAGAAGACAGGAGUCAAGAGGAGGAAAACAGACUGUCCGGACAUUGUACAUUCAGAGGAGACUGGAUACACUCAGCUAGCUACUGAGGGAGAAAGAUACGCUGGCUAGCUUGGACAGCCCUAAGACCACUCAGUUCCAGCCAAACACCACAGUGUUAAGAUGCUGCUGCCUUUGUUAUAUUAAGGUCACUAACCAACGCUCCCUUAACACCCUUCCCUUCCCCUCAGAGUGGAACAUUCCAGGGCUUCUGUGGUAGAGUUUGGUUUGAAUGUUCUCGAAGGCUGGAGUUGUUAUUCAGAACUUUCAUGUUCACUAUCACUGUGUUUUUGUGUGUGUGUGUGUGUGUGUGUGUGUGUGUGUGUGUGUGUGUGUUUCCAAGCAUAUACAAUUAGUCAUUUGCAUUAGUAAAACACAAACAACAACAAGAUUAU